UACGUAGGAUGCAAGCGUUGUCCGGAUUUACUGGGCGUAAAGCGCGCGCAGGCGGCACUCUAAGUACGCUGUGAAAUAUCCCGGCUCAACCGGGAGGGUGCAGUGUAGACUAGGGAGCUAGAGGUCGGUAGAGGGGGGUGGAAUUGCUGGUGUAGCGGUGAAAUGCGCAGAUAUCAGGAGGAACACCGGUGGCGAAGGCGGGUCUCUGGGCCGAUAUUGACGCUGAGGAGCGAAAGCGUGGGGAGCGAACAGG
rnacentral:rRNA from 1 species